UACGUAGGGGGCGAGCGUUGUCCGAAGUUACUGGGCGUAAAGCGCGCGUAGGCGGCUUUCUAAGUCUGGUGUGAAAGGUUCAGGGCUCAACCCGAACAGUGCACUGGAUACUGGCAAGCUUGAGGACGGGAGAGGGAAGCGGAAUUCCAGGUGUAGCGGUGAAAUGCGUAGAUAUCUGGAGGAACACCGAUGGCGAAGGCAGCUUCCUGGCCUGUUUCUGACGCUGAGGUGCGAAAGCGUGGGGAGCGAACGGG
rnacentral:rRNA from 1 species